UCCUUUCGCGGCGUAAAGUAGCAAGGAAGUUAUCUUCGCGGCCGAGCAAUCAAACAAACAACCUGGAAGGAGCAAUCUCCUAACCGUGUCGAACGUGAAUUUAUAUCAGAUCGGAUCAUCGUAGCCUCCGUCAAAUCGUCUUCGGACUGUUUUCGUAGUAUUGAUCCAACAUGAGUUUUCUCUUUGGCCGGAGAAAAACUCCAGCAGGAAAAGGCAAAGAGGAACCUGUUUCGGAGUUGCCUUGUUCAAUUUCACCAAGGUGCUCCUAUCGAUGAAGAGUACCAGUCAAGAACAUAAUACAUACCACAUACAACAGUUAGCUAUAAGAAUGAAGUUUCAAGUUGAAAAUACAAUAGAGAAUGCAGAUUUUACAUUUUAAGAAGAAAUCCAGUAAAUGAGCAUGCACAAGGAAGUUGCUAACUCUGCUUUUUGCUUGGCGAAGGCAAAGAGGAACCUGUUUCGGAGUUGCCGUGUUCAGCUUCACCAGGGUGCUCCCAUAGAUUCCUGUCUAACAUGUCGUCGCUGCAUGGUGUGCUCAUCCCAUGGGUGCUCUUGAAACCUACUUCUGGGUCCUCCAAUAUCUGUCGCAACAGUUCCCACUCGUCUGUCAGAAUAAACAUUGGUGUCAGAAGGUUAGACUUUAAUGUUACAUUGACAAAACAAGAGAAGAUAUUGACACAAACCAUCAGAGUGGAAGUCUUGAGGGUCGUCUGUGAGAUAUCUAGUCAACUGCUGAUUAUUAUUCACUGGUGCUGAUGUUUGAAUCGGUUGUCUAGUCAGCUGCUGAUUGUUAUUCACCGGUGCUGAGUUUGUAUACGGAGCUAAUGCUUGAAUCGGUGGUUGUCUAGUCAACUGCUGAUUGUUAUUCACCGGUGCUGAUGCUUGAAUCAGUUGUCUAGCUAACUCUGGAUUGUUAUUCACCGGUGCUGAUGCUUGAAUCGGUUGUCUAGUCAUUUGUGGAUCGUUAUUCACUGGUGCUGAUGCUUGAAUCGGUUGUCUAGUCAACUGCUGAUUGUUAUUCACCGGUGCUGAACUUGCAUAUGGAACUGAUUCUUGAAUCAGUUGUCUAGCUAACUCUGGAUUGUUAUCCACUGGUGCUGAUGCUUGAAUCGGUUGUCGUGUCAACUGCUGAUUGUUAUUCACCGGUGCUGAACUUGUAUACAGAGCUGAUGCUUGAAUUAGUUGUCUAGCUAACUCUGGAUUGUUAUUCAAUAGUGCUGAUGCUUGAAUUAGUUGUCUAGCUAACUCUGGAUUGUUAUUCAAUAGUCCUGAUGCUUGAAUCUGUUGUCUAGUCAACUGCUGAUUGUUAUUUACUGGUGCUGGAUUUGUAUACAGAGCUAAUGCUUGUCUAAUCAACCGUUGAUUGUUAUUCACCGAUGCUGAUGCUUGAAUUGGUUGUCCAGCCAACUGCAGAUUGCUAUUCAUUGUUGAUGAUGCUUGGAUCGGUUGUCUAAUCAACUGUGGAUUGCUAUUCACUGGUGUUGAACUCACAUUCGGAGCUGAUGCUUGAAUCCGUUGUGAUGGAUAUUGUUCUUCCCUCAAACUCGACACAAUACUCGCCAUUUCGGAUAAACUAAAAGGAGAAUCUGCCAAAAAGAGACAUGAAACUGAGGCCGGCAGGAGAGCCAGACAAUAGCUAACCAAAGAAUUCAAAAAGGAGUUUGUAAAUACUCACGAAGUAGGAAACCGCAGAGCAAGUAUUCUACGUCAUACAACAGCCAUUUAAACAGCCGAAGAAACGAAGAGCUGCUUAUACUUUCAGUCAUCUUACCACAAAUAUGCCACCUCUAGAAGUGACUUCGGUGAAGAUUCGCUGCAGGUUCAGUUCUUUUCCCCGGAACAUCGGAACUCUGAUUUGCACAAAGGAAAUGGAAGUUAGUAAAAUCAAGCACACAGUGAAACAAGAACAAAAUGGUGAAAGAACAAGCUGCAAGAGGCUUACCGGCAAGGUUUGUUUUUCGCAAUCGAUAGAGAUCGCACAAGUGAAUAAAAGUGAUGGGGAUUUCUCAAUGCAUGUUCAUAUUGAUUACGAUGGCUGUCCGGUACAUUUACGACGUUCGAGGAGAUUGUUGAAGGAUGACGCGGCAAAGGGUUCCGUUCUGUAGCCCGAUGGAGCUGAUAGCAGUGAUCGCAUUGAACAGUUCGGUUCAUGAAAAUCAUGCAAUAUUCCUUCUCUGCAUUGCACGAAGGGCAAGCAGCCAUGAACGAUUGUUGCUUUCCAACAGACGGGGGCAGGAAGAACGGUUGUUUGACCAUCGGAGAAGCCUGUCGCCGGAACAACAGGUUCUUUCCUUUUACCUCGGCCUCUGCUUUUUCUACGUUCUUUUUCCGGUUUAUCACCGCCUCCCAUUGGUCCCCGUAAUCUUUGCUUGAAAUCUUGCGUCCAAGAAACGAAGUAGAUGAGAAAAACUGAGAAAACAAUUGCUUACUCGAGAAACCCAGUUUGUUUAGAACAAAGAGAACGGAAAAGAUCAAACAAGAACAGGAAUCAAACCAGAUUAAGAAGAGCUGAAUUUGUUGGAACCAAAACAUAAUACACAUAAAAUCUAAUCAAGAUCUAAUAACAUUAAACCAUUUGACUCACU